CACAGUCUCAGUUUAUGUAUGCGCUUUAUGCUCUGUGUAUGAGUUACUAUGAAGACACAGCCUCAGUAUAUGUACACACUAUAGGCUCUGUGUAUGAGUUACUAUGGGGACACAGCCUCAGUAUAUGUAUCCACUAUAUUGGCUACGUAUGAGAUGAUCGGAAGUCUCGGCUCAGUUUGUGUUCUUUAUUUGCUCUAAAAACAUAACCUUAGUAUAUCUCUCA